GCUUCCUUAGCUCAGUUGGUUAGAGCGUGGGACUAAUAUUCCUUGGUCAUCUCAAGGUCACAGGUUCGACCCCUGUAGGGAGCA
rfam:Purpureocillium lilacinum isolate PLFJ-1 scaffold00010, whole genome shotgun sequence.